rnacentral:rRNA from 1 species
AUGAACGCUGGCGGCGUGCCUAAUACAUGCAAGUCGAGCGAACAGAUGAGGAGCUUGCUCCUCUGACGUUAGCGGCGGACGGGUGAGUAACACGUGGAUAACCUACCUAUAAGACUGGGAUAACUUCGGGAAACCGGAGCUAAUACCGGAUAAUAUAUUGAACCGCAUGGUUCAAUAGUGAAAGACGGUUUUGCUGUCACUUAUAGAUGGAUCCGCGCCGCAUUAGCUAGUUGGUAAGGUAACGGCUUACCAAGGCAACGAUGCGUAGCCGACCCGAGAGGGUGAUCGGCCACACUGGAACUGAGACACGGUCCAGACUCCUACGGGAGGCAGCAGUAGGGAAUCUUCCGCAAUGGGCGAAAGCCUGACGGAGCAACGCCGCGUGAGUGAUGAAGGUCUUCGGAUCGUAAAACUCUGUUAUUAGGGAAGAACAAAUGUGUAAGUAACUAUGCACGUCUUGACGGUACCUAAUCAGAAAGCCACGGCUAACUACGUG